rnacentral:rRNA from 1 species
CAGUAGCCGCGGUAAUACAGAGGGUGCGAGCGUUAAUCGGAUUUACUGGGCGUAAAGCGUGCGUAGGCGGCUUUUUAAGUCGGAUGUGAAAUCCCCGAGCUUAACUUGGGAAUUGCAUUCGAUACUGGGAAGCUAGAGUAUGGGAGAGGAUGGUAGAAUUCCAGGUGUAGCGGUGAAAUGCGUAGAGAUCUGGAGGAAUACCGAUGGCGAAGGCAGCCAUCUGGCCUAAUACUGACGCUGAGGUACGAAAGCAUGGGGAGCAAACAGGAUUAGAUACCCCGGUAGUCCCUGUCUCUUAUAC